rnacentral:rRNA from 1 species
CCUACGGGAGGCAGCAGUGAGGAAUAUUGGACAAUGGAGGCAACUCUGAUCCAGCCAUGCCGCGUGCAGGAAGACGGCCCUAUGGGUUGUAAACUGCUUUUAUACAGGAAGAAUGGUACCUACGUGUAGGUAUUUGACGGUACUGUACGAAUAAGGAUCGGCUAACUCCGUGCCAGCAGCCGCGGUAAUACGGAGGAUCCAAGCGUUAUCCGGAAUCAUUGGGUUUAAAGGGUCCGUAGGCGGUCUGAUAAGUCAGAGGUGAAAUCCUGCAGCUCAACUGUAGCAUUGCCUUUGAUACUGUUAGACUUGAGUUAUUGUGAAGUAGUUAGAAUGUGUGAUGUAGCGGUGAAAUGCAUAGAUAUCACACAGAAUACCGAUUGCGAAGGCAGAUUACUAACAAUACACUGACGCUGAGGGACGAAAGCGUGGGUAGCGAACAGGAUUAGAUACCCUGGUAGUCCACGCCCUAAACGUUGAUUACUCGCUGUUAGCGAUACACUGUUAGCGGCUAAGCGAAAGCGUUAAGUAAUCCACCUGGGAAGUACGACCGCAAGGUUGAAACUCAAAGGAAUUGACGG